CCCGCCGAGCCGUCGGAACUGGGAGACUUGAGUGCAGAAGAGGAGAGUGGAACUCCAUGUGUAGCGGUGAAAUGCGUAGAUAUAUGGAAGAACACCAGUGGCGAAAGCGGCUCUCUGGUCUGUAACUGACGCUGAGGUUCGAAAGCGUGGGUAGCAAAC
rnacentral:rRNA from 1 species